rnacentral:rRNA from 1 species
CCUACGGGAGACAGCAGUGAGGAAUAUUGGUCAAUGGACGAGAGUCUGAACCAGCCAAGUAGCGUGAAGGAUGACUGCCCUAUGGGUUGUAAACUUCUUUUAUAUGGGAAUAAAAUGUUCCACGUGUGGGAUUUUGUAUGUACCAUAUGAAUAAGGAUCGGCUAACUCCGUGCCAGCAGCCGCGGUAAUACGGAGGAUCCGAGCGUUAUCCGGAUUUAUUGGGUUUAAAGGGAGCGUAGGUGGAUUGUUAAGUCAGUUGUGAAAGUUUGCGGCUCAACCGUAAAAUUGCAGUUGAAACUGGCAGUCUUGAGUACAGGAGAGGUGGACGGAAUUCGUGGUGUAGCGGUGAAAUGCUUAGAUAUCACGAAGAACUCCGAUUGCGAAGGCAGCGCACUGGACUGCAACUGACACUGAGGCCCGAAAGUGUGGGUAUCAAACAGGAUUAGAUACCCCGGUAGUC